rnacentral:rRNA from 1 species
GAUGAACGCUAGCUACAGGCUUAACACAUGCAAGUCGAACGGAGUUAAACGCUGAAUUGAUGGUAGCUUGCUAUUGGAUUUUCUUGUUUAACUUAGUGGCGGACGGGUGAGUAACACGUGAGCAACCUGCCUUUUCAGAGGGGAUAAACGGCUGGAAACGGUCGCUAAUACCGCAUGACAUAUUCGUAGUGGCAUCACUUGGAUAUCAAAGGAGCAAUCCGCUGAAAGAUGGGCUCGCGUCUGAUUAGAUAGUUGGUGGGGUAACGGCCUACCAAGUCGACGAUCAGUAGCCGGACUGAGAGGUUGAACGGCCACAUUGGGACUGAGAUACGGCCCAGACUCCUACGGGAGGCAGCAGUGGGAAAUAUUGCACAAUGGGGAAACCCUGAUGCAGCAACGCCGCGUGAAGGAAGACGGUUUUCGGAUUGUAAACUUCUUUUCUUAGUGAAGAGCAAGUGACGGUAGCUAAAGGAAAUAAGCAAUCGGCUAACUACGUGCCAG